UCGAGGAUUUUUCUCAAUGGGGGAAACCCUGAAGGAGCGACGCCGCGUGAGGGAUGAAGGUCUUCGGAUUGUAAACCUCUGUCAUCUGGGAACAAUGUGAUCUACCUAACACGUGGAUUAUUGAUAGUACCGGAAGAGGAAGCAGUGGCUAACUCUGUGCCAGCAGCCGCGGUAAUACAGAGACUGCAAGCGUUGUUCGGAUUCAUUGGGCGUAAAGGGUGCGCAGGCGGUUCGUUAAGUCGGAUGUGAAAUCUCACAGCCUAACUGUGAUAGGUCAUUCGAAACUGGCGGACUUGAGGACUGGAGAGGAGACUGGAAUAGUCGGUGUAGCGGUGAAAUGCGUAGAGAUCGACUAGAACACCGGUGGCGAAGGCGAGUCUCUGGACAGUUCCUGACGCUCAGGCACGAAAGCCAGGGGAGCAAACGGGAUUAGAUACCCCCGUAGUCC
rnacentral:rRNA from 1 species